UUCGAACUUAAUUUAUAUACAUCAAAGUUUACUUUCCCAGGUACGUGACCUUCAAAUACAUUCCUUACAAUACCUGACAAUAGAUUCCACUAUCUUACUAACUAUAACCAUUAACUCAUACUAAAUCUCAUUCGAAUAGCUUUUCUUUUCCUUUGUUCGUGCCUGAGCCUUCAGGUCGAUCGUACGUAACUGAAAACAUUUAGUUUAAGCAAGGAUGAGCAUUUGAGUGCCCAGCAAGUAAUAGCAAUUAUAUAUAUAAGCUGAAAGAAUAUAAGUAUUCUCUUUACAUAACACUUCUACAACGAAUCAAAAGUUGUGAAGUAAUCUGUACUGAUAAAAGAUUCACAUAACAACUCUCUUUCAAUUUCUUGAAAUUAGGCUCCACCCAUGAAUAGGGUUUAAGAAACAUACUAUGAACAUUGUUUUUCAUUUUCGAAAAGGUUUAGCAGAAAUUCAUCCGCAAACCGUCAUAACUUACGGGCACGGAGGGUGAUCAGCCCCGUUGUACCCUGUAUUGAUCAAUACUACAUAACUUGAACGAAAUUCAUCGCUCACUCUAUCCGCCUUGGGCGCAAAAAUCUUCCCAUAUAGGGAUGUUCAUACAUGCCUGGUUCCAAACCCGAAGGUUUUUAAUCUUGCUCAACAAUAAUAUGUAAUUCAACAUAUAUGUAUACGGGUAAUUGACAAAGGUAUAUCAACAUGUGAAUAAAUGCCAUGAUUAUCCAAGUGGGGACACUUGUAUAACCAUUUAGAAAUCAACUUAACAGAAUAUAUAUCUGAGCUAACAUGUUGAUAAUCAAAGCGUACAUAAUCUGUACAGGAAUAGAAUAAUUCUGAAACUUCUUACUCAUGUCCAUUGCAUAAAGGAAAUGCAAAGGUAAGAUACUUGCCUGAUUUGCUGAUUACAAAUCUCAACUUAGGUUUUAUCUCUUUAUCACAACCUAUCAAGAAUCAGAUCAUUCGUUCGAUUAGAACAAUAUAUCAUAACACAUAGUACUGUCUAUUACAGUCAGCACAUAGUCUAAUCACGUCAUCACAUAAUCGCAGUGAUCAUACUUUUAGUUCAUAUUCUACACUUGAAAUAUUUUUAUACAUUUUUCAAAUAUCUCAUCCAUGUUCUUACAGUAGCCUUUUCUUUCUUUUAUAAGGUCUGACAUUUGUCGGCGUACCGACAACUUUAUCGGGUAAUUA
rnacentral:lncRNA from 1 species